rnacentral:rRNA from 1 species
CCUACGGGGCGCAGCAGUGAGGAAUAUUGGUCAAUGGACGAGAGUCUGAACCAGCCAAGUAGCGUGAAGGAUGACUGCCCUAUGGGUUGUAAACUUCUUUUAUAUGGGAAUAAAAUGUUCCACGUGUGGGAUUUUGUAUGUACCAUAUGAAUAAGGAUCGGCUAACUCCGUGCCAGCAGCCGCGGUAAUACGGAGGAUCCGAGCGUUAUCCGGAUUUAUUGGGUUUAAAGGGAGCGUAGGGGGAUUGUUAAGUCAGUUGUGAAAGUUUGCGGCUCAACCGUAAAAUUGCAGUUGAAACUGGCAGUCGUGAGUACAGUAGAGGUGGGCGGAAUUCGUGGUGUAGCGGUGAAAUGCUUAGAUAUCACGAAGAACUCCGAUUGCGAAGGCAGCUCACUGGACUGCAACUGACACUGAGGCUCGAAAGUGUGGGUAUCAAACAGGAUUAGAUACCCCAGUAGUC